rnacentral:rRNA from 1 species
UACGUAGGGUGCAAGCGUUGUCCGGAAUUACUGGGCGUAAAGGGCUGGUAGGCGGCCAACUAAGUCGGAUGUGAAAUCCCCAGGCUUAACCUGGGAACUGCAUCCGAUACUGGUCGGCUUGAAUCCGGGAGAGGGAUGCAGAAUUCCAGGUGUAGCGGUGAAAUGCGUAGAUAUCUGGAGGAAUACCGGUGGCGAAGGCGGCAUCCUGGACCGGCAUUGACGCUGAACAGCGAAAGCUAGGGGAGCAAACGGG